GAUGAACGCUGGCGGCGUGCCUAAUACAUGCAAGUCGAGCGAACGGACGAGAAGCUUGCUUCUCUGAUGUUAGCGGCGGACGGGUGAGUAACACGUGGAUAACCUACCUAUAAGACUGGGAUAACUUCGGGAAACCGUAGCUAAUACCGGAUAAUAUUUUGAACCGCAUGGUUCAAAAGUGAAAGACGGUCUUGCUGUCACUUAUAGAUGGAUCCGCGCUGCAUUAGCUAGUUGGUAAGGUAACGGCUUACCAAGGCAACGAUGCAUAGCCGACCUGAGAGGGUGAUCGGCCACACUGGAACUGAGACACGGUCCAGACUCCUACGGGAGGCAGCAGUAGGGAAUCUUCCGCAAUGGGCGAAAGCCUGACGGAGCAACGCCGCGUGAGUGAUGAAGGUCUUCGGAUCGUAAAACUCUGUUAUUAGGGAAGAACAUAUGUGUAAGUAACUGUGCACAUCUUGACGGUACCUAAUCAGAAAGCCACGGCUAACUACGUGCCAGCAGCCGCGGUAAUACGUAGGUGGCAAGCGUUAUCCGGAAUUAUUGGGCGUAAAGCGCGCGUAGGCGGUUUUUUAAGUCUGAUGUGAAAGCCCACGGCUCAACCGUGGAGGGUCAUUGGAAACUGGAAAACUUGAGUGCAGAAGAGGAAAGUGGAAUUCCAUGUGUAGCGGUGAAAUGCGCAGAGAUAUGGAGGAACACCAGUGGCGAAGGCGACUUUCUGGUCUGUAACUGACGCUGAUGUGCGAAAGCGUGGGGAUCAAACAGGAUUAGAUACCCUGGUAGUCCACGCCGUAAACGAUGAGUGCUAAGUGUUAGGGGGUUUCCGCCCCUUAGUGCUGCAGCUAACGCAUUAAGCACUCCGCCUGGGGAGUACGACCGCAAGGUUGAAACUCAAAGGAAUUGACGGGGACCCGCACAAGCGGUGGAGCAUGUGGUUUAAUUCGAAGCAACGCGAAGAACCUUACCAAAUCUUGUCAUCCUUUGACAACUCUAGAGAUAGAGCCUUCCCCUUCGGGGGACAAAGUGACAGGUGGUGCAUGGUUGUCGUCAGCUCGUGUCGUGAGAUGUUGGGUUAAGUCCCGCAACGAGCGCAACCCUUAAGCUUAGUUGCCAUCAUUAAGUUGGGCACUCUAAGUUGACUGCCGGUGACAAACCGGAGGAAGGUGGGGAUGACGUCAAAUCAUCAUGCCCCUUAUGAUUUGGGCUACACACGUGCUACAAUGGACAAUACAAAGGGCAGCGAAACCGCGAGGUCAAGCAAAUCCCAUAAAGUUGUUCUCAGUUCGGAUUGUAGUCUGCAACUCGACUACAUGAAGCUGGAAUCGCUAGUAAUCGUAGAUCAGCAUGCUACGGUGAAUACAUUCCCGGGUCU
rnacentral:rRNA from 1 species